GACGAACGCUGGCGGCGUGCUUAACACAUGCAAGUCGAACGGUGAUGCUCCAGCUUGCUGGCGUGGAUCAGUGGCGGACGGGUGAGUAACACGUGAGCAACCUGCCCCAGACUCUGGAAUAAGCGCUGGAAACGGCGUCUAAUACUGGAUACGAAACUGGCCCGCAUGGGCAUGGUUUGGAAAGUUUUUCGGUUUGGGAUGGGCUCGCGGCCUAUCAGCUUGUUGGUGAGGUAAUGGCUCACCAAGGCGACGACGGGUAGCCGGCCUGAGAGGGCGACCGGCCACACUGGGACUGAGACACGGCCCAGACUCCUACGGGAGGCAGCAGUGGGGAAUAUUGCACAAUGGGCGAAAGCCUGAUGCAGCGACGCCGCGUGAGGGAUGACGGCCUUCGGGUUGUAAACCUCUUUCAGCAGGGAAGAAGCGAAAGUGACGGUACCUGCAGAAGAAGCACCGGCUAACUACGUG
rnacentral:rRNA from 1 species